UUGUUUGUCCGGAUAACACAGAGAGGGAGAGAGGGAGAGAGUAGGAGAGUCUGAGAGAGACACUGACUGAGACCCAAGCCUUCCUCUUUCCUCGUUCUUUUUCUUCUCUUCUCUUUCCUUCUUCUUGUUUUCUUCUUUCUCUGUUUCGUUCAAGAGACACAGAGACUAUGAGAGAGGGAGAGAGUGAAAUUGAAGGAGAGUGAGAGAAAGAGAGACCGAAACACUGAGAGGGAGAGAACCGGAGAUGACCCGUGACCCGACGAACCCAGAGAAGCCAUUACCCGAACCUCUUCUUUCCCUUUCCGUGCUUCUUCUUCUUUCCUCCUUGUCUAGCCGAAACAGAGAGAAGAGAGAUCAGGAGAGCAGAGAGGGGGAGAGAGUACCGUCGGAGAUGAGACCCAGACCCGAUCCUCCACGGGUCGUCUCCGGUGAACCUAAACUAAGGACGAUUUCCGGUGAGACAGUGGUGCUUAUUGCUGGGUCGACGGAAGAGAUGAUUUCCGGUGGAUUUUCAGUGUUGAACGAAAAUCCUCUAAUAUGAGGAGAAAGAGUACCCGGAUUACCCAAAUCCUUAGGUGGAUCCUGUUGACAAUAUUUGACGCUAACUUGCCUCCAUUUUGUGGACUGCUGUGUUCCAGUCCUUUAUUACAUUAUCUUGAGAACGAUAUUUAUAUUUUUAUUGGUGUGUAUUAGCUAUACUCUAGUUAUUUUGGCUUGUAAAUUAUAUGUGCCUUAUGUGGCAUAAAUACUAUCUUAUGUAUAAUUAUUCAGUUACACUUUAUAUAUCUAUGUUGAAGUAUUUCAGUUAGAA